rnacentral:lncRNA from 10 species
CAGGAAUAUACUGAGAGUACAUUUGGAUUAGGUCAGUGGCUCUCAUACUUUGCUGCCUUAUUAUCCCCUGGGGCCUUGCUAAAACUCUGAAUCUCCACCCCAAGGUUUAGACUCAGCAGAUCAGGGUUAGGGCCCGAGAAUCUGCAUUCUUCAUUGGACUCCCUGGUGCUGCUGGCAUUGGCUCCACAUGUUGAGAAGCUUGGAUUAGAGGAAAACACAGAAGUCUAGUUCGGCUGACUGGGAAGCAGCAGGUGGAGAGUUGGGUAGGGAGAUCUGUGAGGGAGGGGCUUGUGCAGGAAGGAGUUUAGGUUUUACUGAUUGAAGUGGGAAGCCAUUAGAAAGAUCGCCCUGGUGCUUUGUGGAGAACAGUUCACAGCAAGAAAGCAGGGAGACAGGUUAGGGGCUCUCGCAGCGAUUUAGGCCAGCAGUUAGGGCAGGUUGGGCUAGUAGUAACAGUGGAGGUGGUUGUUUUCAGUUAUCCCUUGGAAGUAGAGGUGUCAGGCCUUGCUGAUGACAGGAUCUGGGAUGUGAAGGAGAGAAAUGAGCCAAGGACAGCAACCAGAUAUGAAGCCUGGGCACCCUGCAGCUGGUCAAAUUUCCGUGAAAAAGUUGGUUCAAAUCAUUCAGCCUGGCAUUACUGGAAAUCUCUAACAAGAUUUACAGCGGUGCCACCCCAAUGAAUUCCACCACACUGAAUUCAUUGUUCAUUGAGAGAGAUUAGAAAAUGAAGAUACCAUGCCCCUUGGCUUCCCUGCUAAAGGAGACACUGGGAAAGGAGAGGAAUCUGACACUUUGGGGGUGCGACCCAGCAAUCUGCACUCUGUCAAACUCGUGAGGUGAUGCCCAUGCAUGCACAACUUGGAGCACAUCGUCUGACCUCAGGUAAUCACGGUGAUCCCAGCUGCAUUCAUUUCUUGGGGCUGCCAGAACAAACUACCGCAGACGGAACGGCUUCAGAAGAAAUAUGUAUUCUUUCCCAGUUGUGGAGGCCGGAAGUCUGAGAUCAAGAUGUUGGCAGAACUGGUUUCUUGUGAGACUGAGGGAAGGAUCUGUUCCAGGCUUCUCUUCUUGGCUUGUAGAUGGCCAUCUUAUCCCGGUGUCUCUUCUCAUUGUCUUCCUUUAAGUGUGCCUGGGUCCAGGUUUUUCCAUUUCAUAAGGACACGGUCACAAUAGAUUAGUGCCUACAUUCAUGAUUUUUUUCUUAACUAAUUACAUCCACAACAAUCUAUUUCUAAAUAAGGUCACACUGGGGGUUAGGACUUCACUGCAACUUUGAGGGGACACAUUUCAACCCAUAAUGCCAUCCCAUGCCAGUGGGAAGCUUAAGGACCAGGCAAAUGCUUAGCAGAGCGUGGCUUUCCCUGAGUCUACGGUUCUUGGCUGGGCAAGUGACUUAGCUACUUAGCUUGCACCUGGCAGGUGUUGACUAAAGGCAUGCUCACUUUUCCCUCUGCACGUGAAGGAAUAAAAACAAUACUGGGAAUUCUACAACUUGUUUGGUAUGUAGUGGUGAGUCUGACAUUGUGUGGAGCAAGGCUGGAAGUCACCAAAACCUGACUCUUUAAAAAUCUCUAAGUUCCUGGACCAGUAGUUUUCAAACCGCUCAUGCCCUCUGGACUUGCGAUUAAUGCCCUAAGAGUCUCUAUUUUAUACAACAGCUUGAGCUGGGGUCUUAGGAAUCUGCCACUGAAAUUUGCUGCACACACUUAUAUAGAUAUAGGUAUUUUUGAACUUGUAUCAUGCCAACAUAUUCUUUUUUAGCUUGAUUUUAUUUUUUAUUUAGCAAUAUAUUAUAUGCUGAGACCAGCUCGGUCGGGGAGACCCUAACCCAGUGGCGCUAGAGGAAUUAAAGACGCAUACACAGAAAUAUAGAAGUGUGAAGUGGGAAAUCAUGGGUCUCACAGCCUUCAGAGCUGAGAGCCCCAAACAGAGAUUUACCCACAUAUUGAUUAACAGCAAAC